ACUAGAAUGAAUGGCUAAAUGAAGACUCAACUGUCUCUUGCAGCCCACCAAUGAAACUGAUCUCUUAGUCCAAAAGCUAAGAUUUCUUCACAAGACGAGAAGACCCUGUGGAGCUAUUAAACCAAACUCACAAAAAUGACCACUUGGUUUUCAGUUGGGGCGACUUCGGAGUAUAAAAACCCCUCCGAUAUGGUACUAAUUAAACUUAGAUGGACACAUCAAUACACCAAGACCCAGUAGGUUGCCUUUCACCUACCUGAUCAAUGAACCAAGUUACCCCAGGGAUAACAGCGCCAUCCUUUCUUAGAGUCCCUAUCGACGAAAGGGCUUACGACCUCGAUGUUGGAUCAGGACACCCCAAUAGUGCAACCGCUAUUAAUGGUUCGUUUGUUCAACGAUUAA
rnacentral:rRNA from 1 species